AGAGGAAUCAAAAAAUAAACUAUUCAAAAAUUGAGCAAGAAAAUUGUUAAGAAAUCUCAUAAUAUCGUUCUAAUAUAAUUGGUUAUAUAGUUUGCCAUCUAAUAGGGAUGGUAACGGAUCGGAUCGAUCCAUAUUUGUAUCUAUCUCGGAUUGAAUCGAAUCAGAUCAAGUAGAGGUAUAGAUUGAAUCGGAUCGAAAAUAUAAGAGAGACUAAUCA
rnacentral:lncRNA from 1 species